rnacentral:tRNA from 1 species
AUUUAUAUAGCUUAUAAUUAGAGCAUAGUAUUGAAGCUGCUAAGGUAAUUUUUAUUUAUAAAUA